rnacentral:rRNA from 1 species
AGCGAACGCUGGCGGCAGGCCUAACACAUACAAGUCGAACGGACCCUUCGGGGUUAGUGGCGGACGGGUGAGUAACACGUGGGAACGUGCCUUUAGGUUCGGAAUAGCUCCUGGAAACGGGUGGUAAUGCCGAAUGUGCCCUUCGGGGGAAAGAUUUAUCGCCUUUAGAGCGGCCCGCGUCUGAUAGCUAGUUGGUGAGGUAAUGGCUCACCAAGGCGACGAUCAGUAGCUGGUCUGAGAGGAUGACCAGCCACAUUGGGACUGAGACACGGCCCAAACUCCUACGGGAGGCAGCAGUGGGGAAUCUUGCGCAAUGGGCGAAGGCCUGACGCAGCCAUGCCGCGUGGAUGAUGAAGGUCUUAGGAUUGUAAAAUCCUUUCACCGGUGAAGAUAAUGACUGUAGCCGGAGAAGAAGCCCCGGCUAACUUCGUGCCAGCCGCCGCCGUAA